CCCCAUGACAUCUACAUCCUUGACCAUGCUGAGGAGGCAGAAGAGAUUGACCUCCCCUACUCAUGCAGGGCUGGAUCAUGCUCUUCAUGUCUUGGCAAGAUUGUGAAGGGGACUGUGGACCAGUCUGAUGCUAGCUUCCUUGAUGAUGACCAGAUAGAGGAAGGCUGGGUUCUCACCUGUGUUGCUUAUCCUACGUCUGAUGUUGUCAUCGAGACACACAAAGAGGAAGAGUUUAGCGGUUAAAUAAGAUCUCUUUCUGUUUGUGUCGUCGGUGUUGUUCCGGCAGGGGGGGAUUUUAUGAUUGUUAUCUCUACUGUUACUGAGCAUGUAAUUUAAUUUGUCCCAACUUUUUCUUCCUUCAUUUGUAGUCUCAAAUGAAACUGCGUUUACUUAAUAAAUCUUAGUGUAUGGGAUUGUUUCCUCAACCGCCAUGGAUCUCUCUCUC
rnacentral:lncRNA from 1 species